AGUCGAACGAAAACAAAAAAAUAAGUAAUUAUUUUUUUGUUUUAGUGGCGGACGGGUGAGUAACGCGUAAGGAAUCUACCUUUAGGCAGGGGGAAAACAACUGGAAACGGUUGCUAACACCCCAUAUGCUGAGGAGUAAAAUACAUUGUGCCUAGAGAUGAGCUUGCGUCUGAUUAGUUAGUUGGUAAGGUAAUUGCUUCCCAAGACUAUGAUCAGUAGCUGGUCUGAGAGGAUGAUCAGCCACACUGGGACUGAGACACGGCCCAGACUCCUACGGGAGGCAGCAGUGAGGAAUUUUCCGCAAUGGGCGAAAGCCUGACGGAGCAAUGCCGCGUGGAGGAUGAAAGCCUAUGGGUUGUAAACUCCUUUUCUCAGAGAAGAAAUUUUGACGGUAUCUGAGGAAUAAGCAUCGGCUAACUCCGUGCCAGCAGCCGCGGUAAUACGGGGGAUGCAAGUGUUAUCCGGAAUAAUUGGGCGUAAAGCGUCUGUAGGUGGUUGACCAAGUCUGUUGUUAAAAAUCAGGGCUUAA
rnacentral:rRNA from 1 species